rnacentral:lncRNA from 1 species
AGUUAGCUUUAAGCAAAAUGACACAAGUGUCAAGCAGUUAGAGCUAACGAUUACAAUAAUUCUUAGAAUUGCAUCUCAGGGAGGGCCUUUAAUGCUGUCACCUAAAAUAAACCUGAAGUAAAACUAGAUGGGAACUGUAGGCAGUUCGUUCUCAGGGAUGGCUGCCCUGCCUCUCAUCAUUGGUUGGCUUAUUUUCUGCAGGUAAUUGUAUGACCUGACCAAACUUGGACAUUCCCAUUUUUCCUUGGAAAAGACACUUGUUCUUGCUUAAAGCUUUAGGUCUAAGAUUUCCCAUUGCAGACUCUGACUGCGUUUACAACUCAGUCGUUUUAAACUUUUUUUUUUCAUUUAAUAUUCAAAACUCAAGUGUAUUUUUUGUUUUGUUUUUGAGACAGACUCUGGUUUCCCAAGCUGGCCUUGAGCUAACAAAAGAACACACAAUACAAGACUUAAGACAAAGCCGGACAGCUUCAGGUGGGAGUCAGGGGUCUCAGAAGUUCAAGGUUAAUCUUCGCCAUGUAACAAGUUUGUGGAUGGUCUAUGGGAGACCUGGUUUCAAAACAGAUAAACUCUAAAGCCCAUUCUUUUCUAAGAUUCAAGACAAUUUUCAUCUUGUUUUGAGAUACUAUGUAGCCUUGGCUUGCUUGGUACUCACUGUAGACCAGGCUGUCUUCCAGCUCAUAAAGAUCUGCCUGCCCCUUCCUUCUGAGUGCAGGGAUUAAAAGUUGACAGGAGCCUGAUAUAGCUGUCUCCUGAGAGGCUCUGCCAGAGCCUGACCAAUACAGAUAUGGAUGCUUUCAGCCCACCAUUGGACUGAGCACAGGGUCCCUAGUAGAGGAGUUAGAGGAAGGACUGAAGGAACUGAAGGGGUUUGCAGCCCCAUAGUAAGAACAACAAUAUCAACCAACUAGACCCCCACAGAGCUCCCAAGGUCUAAACCACCAACUAAAGAGUACUCAUGGAGGGUGGGACCCAUGGCGACAGCCGCAUAUGUAGCAGAGGAUGGCCUUGUCAGGCAUCAAUGGGAGGAGAGGCCCUUGGUCCUGUGAAGGCUGGAUGCCCCAGUGUAGGGGAAUGCCAGGGUGGGGAGGUGGGAGUGGGUGGCCGAGCACCCUCAUAGAAGCACGGGGAGGGGGUGGGAUGGAGGUUUGCCCAGGGGAAACAGGAAAAAGGGAUAACAUUUAAAAUGUAAAUAAAUAACCAAUAAAAUUUCUUUAAAAAGU